rnacentral:rRNA from 1 species
AGAGUUUGAUCAUGGCUCAGAUUGAACGCUGGCGGCAGGCCUAACACAUGCAAGUCGAGCGGUAGCACAGAGAGCUUGCUCUCGGGUGACGAGCGGCGGACGGGUGAGUAAUGUCUGGGAAACUGCCUGAUGGAGGGGGAUAACUACUGGAAACGGUAGCUAAUACCGCAUAAUGUCGCAAGACCAAAGUGGGGGACCUUCGGGCCUCAUGCCAUCAGAUGUGCCCAGAUGGGAUUAGCUAGUAGGUGGGGUAACGGCUCACCUAGGCGACGAUCCCUAGCUGGUCUGAGAGGAUGACCAGCCACACUGGAACUGAGACACGGUCCAGACUCCUACGGGAGGCAGCAGUGGGGAAUAUUGCACAAUGGGCGCAAGCCUGAUGCAGCCAUGCCGCGUGUGUGAAGAAGGCCUUCGGGUUGUAAAGCACUUUCAGCGGGGAGGAAGGCGUUAAGGUUAAUAACCUUGGCGAUUGACGUUACCCGCAGAAGAAGCACCGGCUAACUCCGUGCCAGCAGCCGCGGUAAUACGGAGGGUGCAAGCGUUAAUCGGAAUUACUGGGCGUAAAGCGCACGCAGGCGGUCUGUCAAGUCGGAUGUGAAAUCCCCGGGCUCAACCUGGGAACUGCAUUAGAAACUGGCAGGCUAGAGUCUUGUAGAGGGGGGUAGAAUUCCAGGUGUAGCGGUGAAAUGCGUAGAGAUCUGGAGGAAUACCGGUGGCGAAGGCGGCCCCCUGGACAAAGACUGACGCUCAGGUGCGAAAGCGUGGGGAGCAAACAGGAUUAGAUACCCUGGUAGUCCACGCCGUAAACGAUGUCGAUUUGGAGGUUGUGCCCUUGAGGCGUGGCUUCCGGAGCUAACGCGUUAAAUCGACCGCCUGGGGAGUACGGCCGCAAGGUUAAAACUCAAAUGAAUUGACGGGGGCCCGCACAAGCGGUGGAGCAUGUGGUUUAAUUCGAUGCAACGCGAAGAACCUUACCUGGUCUUGACAUCCACAGAACUUUCCAGAGAUGGAUUGGUGCCUUCGGGAACUGUGAGACAGGUGCUGCAUGGCUGUCGUCAGCUCGUGUUGUGAAAUGUUGGGUUAAGUCCCGCAACGAGCGCAACCCUUAUCCUUUGUUGCCAGCGGUCCGGCCGGGAACUCAAAGGAGACUGCCAGUGAUAAACUGGAGGAAGGUGGGGAUGACGUCAAGUCAUCAUGGCCCUUACGACCAGGGCUACACACGUGCUACAAUGGCAUAUACAAAGAGAAGCGACCUCGCGAGAGCAAGCGGACCUCAUAAAGUAUGUCGUAGUCCGGAUUGGAGUCUGCAACUCGACUCCAUGAAGUCGGAAUCGCUAGUAAUCGUAGAUCAGAAUGCUACGGUGAAUACGUUCCCGGGCCUUGUACACACCGCCCGUCACACCAUGGGAGUGGGUUGCAAAAGAAGUAGGUAGCUUAACCUUCGGGAGGGCGCUUACCACUUUGUGAUUCAUGACUGGGGUGAAGUCGUAACAAGGUAACCGUAGGGGAACCUGCGGUUG